UGGGGAAUAUUGGACAAUGGGCGAAAGCCUGAUCCAGCCAUGCCGCGUGUGUGAAGAAGGUCUUCGGAUUGUAAAGCACUCUAAGUUGGGAGGAAGGGCAGUAAGCGAAUACCUUGCUGUUUUGACGUUACCGACAGAAUAAGCACCGGCUAACUCUGUGCCAGCAGCCGCGGUAAUACAGAGGGUGCAAGCGUUAAUCGGAAUUACUGGGCGUAAAGCGCGCGUAGGUGGUUCGUUAAGUUGAAUGUGAAAGCCCCGGGCUCAACCUGGGAACUGCAUCCAAAACUGGCGGGCUAGAGUAGGGCAGAGGGUGGUGGAAUUUCCUGUGUAGCGGUGAAAUGCGUAGAUAUAGGAAGGAACACCAGUGGCGAAGGCGACCACCUGGGCUCAUACUGACACUGAGGUGCGAAAGCGUGGGGAGCAAACAGG
rnacentral:rRNA from 1 species